rnacentral:pre_miRNA from 1 species
GUCAUUUUUGUGAUUUGCAGCUAGUAGUCUGAGUCCAGUUGCAUAGUCACAAAAGUGAUC